GACGAACGCUGGCGGCGUGCUUAAUACAUGCAAGUCGAGCGAGGUUACUGUUUUGGAUCCCUUCGGGGUGAAGAAGCUUUAACCUAGCGGCGGACGGGUGAGUAACGCGUGGGUAACCUACCCCAAAGUCCGGGAUAACAGCGGGAAACCGCUGCUAAUACCGGAUGUCUUUACCUUGGGGCAUCUUGAGGUAAAGAAAGGUAACGCUUUGGGAUGGGCCCGCGUCCCAUUAGCUAGUUGGUGGGGUAACGGCUCACCAAGGCGACGAUGGGUAGCCGGCCUGAGAGGGUGGACGGCCACACUGGGACUGAGACACGGCCCAGACUCCUACGGGAGGCAGCAGUAGGGAAUAUUGCGCAAUGGACGGAAGUCUGACGCAGCGACGCCGCGUGAGCGAUGAAGGUCUUCGGAUCGUAAAGCUCUGUCCUUGGGGAAGAAGGCGAAAGCUUGACGGUACCCAAGAAGAAAGCCCCGGCUAACUACGUGCCAGCAGCCGCGGUAAUACGUAGGGGGCGAGCGUUGUCCGGAAUUACUGGGCGUAAAGGGUGCGUAGGCGGCCCUUUAAGUCGGAUGUGAAAGCCCGCGGCUUAACCGCGGAAUGGCAUUCGAAACUGGAGGGCUUGAGUGUCGGAGAGGGUAGUGGAAUUCCCAGUGUAGCGGUGAAAUGCGUAGAUUUUGGGGAGGAACACCAGUGGCGAAGGCGACUACCUGGACGAUAACUGACGCUGAGGCACGAAAGCUAGGGGAGCAAACAGG
rnacentral:rRNA from 1 species